UCCUGAAGCCAGCGAGACCACGAGCCCACCGAGAGGAACGAACUCCAGAGGCGCCGCCUUAAGAGCUGUAACACUCACCGUGAAGGUCUGCAGCUUCACUGCUGAGCCAGCGAGACCACGAACCCACCAGAAGGAAGAAACUCUGAACACAUCCGAACAUCAGAAGGAACAAACUCCAGACGUGCCACCUUAAGAGCUGUAACACUCACCACGAGGGUCGGCGGCUCCAUUCUUAAAGUCAGUGAGACCAAGAACCCACCAGUUCCAGACACACUUUUCUUGCAUUAGAUCCUGUGAUGGUUAAUAUUGAGUGUCAACUUGAUUGAAUUGAAGGAUGCAAAGUAUUGUUCCUGGGUGUGUCUGUGAGGGUGUUGCCAAAGGAGAUUAACACUUGAGUCAGUGAACUGGGAAAGGCAGACCCACCCUCCAUCUGGGUGGGCACCAUCUAAUCAGCUGCCAGCAUGGCUAAAAUAUAAAGCAGGCAGAAGAACAUGAAAAGACUAGACUGGCCUAGUUUCCCAGCCUACAUCUUUCUCCCGUGGUGGAUGCUUCCUGCCCUCAAACAUCAGACUCCAGGUUCUUCAGUUUUAGGACUCGGACUGGCUCUCCUUGCUCCUCAGCUUGCAGAUGGCCUAUUGUGGGACCUUGUGAUUAUGUUAGCAAAGCAUGGAAACGAAUUUCAGGCCAAAUGACGAUACAUUCAUGAUCGCUGGACAAUUUUAUUAUCUGGAUCCUGGGGCAGUGCAUGCAGUGUUUGUCCUGGAGCAACCUCCUUAAGGGGCCACCUCUGCUUGAGCAACACGCUGGAAGCUUCAUAGAUAGAGUCUUCUGUGUCCAGGCUGGAGUGCAGUAACGCAAUCUCAGCUCACUGCAACGUCUGCCUCCCGGGUUCAAGCAAUUCUCCUGCCUCAGCCUCCCAAGUAGCUGCGACUAGAGGCGCACACCACCACACCCAGGCGUAAUUAUCAAGGAUGAGUUGGAACACAAAGUAUCAUCUGAAUAAGAAAGAUGAGCCUCACAGCAACUCUCUCCUCUGAGACAAGUUCAACCUUAUAUUAUUACCCCACCACAGUCUACAUCAUCAACAUUUCUAAUGCAAGCUGGUACCUCUAUAUGGAUUGCUGUAUACUCAUUUCUUAAUCAAACACUGUUCUGCUUCCUUUAAGUCUCAAUUCAAAAGUCGUGUCUUUGUGAUUUCCCCAAGUAAAGUGAAUUUCUUUAUCUCUGCAUUCACAUACCUUGUAAUUUACUGCCAAUUUUUCUAUCUUCCUUCCACAGUAGUAGUGAUUCAUCUUAUUUACAUUCAGAACUUAACACAACACUUGACUUUUAAAAAUGUAUGUUGAAUGAACAAUGAAUGGAUGGAUGUGUCAUUUUGGUGUCCCUGGAACAGAUGUUAAGAGCAGACUUUCAGUUUCCCUCACGCUCAGUCUUCUGAAAGUAUUUGUAACUUUUGUGCAUAUUUUCCAAUCUCAACAAGCUCACUAGUAAAAUUUCGAAUUACUCUUCGGGCUAGUAAGAUCUAGAAUAGUGUUAGAAACUAACAGUUAAUAUCAUAUAACCAUUCAUUUAUGCUCAUUCAUGAGGCUCUAACUUGUGUCAAGUAAGAAUCAGUCAGGGCCCAAUGAGAAAACAAAAAGUGAGAAAAAGCUUCUGUCUUUCAAAAACUAAAUGUGGAGGACCACAGCCAGGCCUGCCCUGAGCAGCAUUAUCUGAAGGAGGAAGACAAUGGUAGUAGAUAGACCUUUGAAUGCUGAUGGGGCACCUCCCAAAGCCUUCUGAUGCAACAGACAUCCAGCCCAUAGCUCCAGGCUCAUCUAAUGUGCCAGAUUCUCAUUCUACAUAGGGUGCAUUGAUAGCCUCACUUCAAGCAUGCUUCUAGAAUAAACUAAAGAGACACUGAAAUAGUCCAUCUACUUAUUGAUAUAAUUAUAUGGCACAAACAUCAUUUGCACCAUUUAUUUGUUGAUGUGGCAGUAAAGUAAAAUGAAAGCCACUCUGAACUAACUCUGAGUCCUUUUUCAUGCCAAGCUUCAAAUGCAGCCUGACUCUUAUAUCUGGGGUUCCUCAAACAGAGAAAGAUGUGUGCGUACACACAUACAUACACAGAGUCCACACGUACAUACACAGAGUCCACAGAUCUUUUUGUUUUUCCAAGACUUGUUACAUCAAGGCCCUAAAGACUAGCUGCGGGAGUAUCUCUCGCCUAAUCAAUGCCCCCUACAGAGCUGAACUGCCUCCUACUGUUACCCCUGAGAAGUGAGAACUACCUCUGAAUUCAGUAAGUGUUUGAUGAAUU
rnacentral:lncRNA from 1 species